rnacentral:misc_RNA from 1 species
CCGGCGCAACCAUGAAGUCAUGCUCCAUUUUCCAAUUUCAUUAUUCUCUUGUGAAAGUAUUCUAGCAAACUUGGGAUGCGCUAAUGCAGGACAUAGCCGCAGCCCUCAAGUUACUAAUAAGAUUGCCCAAACACGUUGUGGCAGAGCAAAUACUAAGCAGUAAGCAGAUAAGAACAGCUAAGAUGUGAAUCCAGUAAACCACAUGCCGUACCAUCUUAAGAGACAGUAAAACAAGUCUGAAUGGACAGCAUACAACUCGAAUUUAUUAGAUGAUAA